rnacentral:rRNA from 1 species
AACGAACGCUGGCGGCAUGCCUAGCACAUGCAAGUCGAACGAAGUCUUCGGACUUAGUGGCGCACGGGUGCGUAACGCGUGGGAAUCUGCCCUUGGGUGCGGAAUAACUUCUCGAAAGGGAUGCUAAUACCGCAUAAUGUCGUAAGACCAAAGAUUUAUCGCCCAAGGAUGAGCCCGCGUAAGAUUAGCUAGUUGGUGGGGUAAAAGCCUACCAAGGCGACGAUCUUUAGCUGGUCUGAGAGGAUGAUCAGCCACACUGGGACUGAGACACGGCCCAGACUCCUACGGGAGGCAGCAGUGGGGAAUAUUGGACAAUGGGCGAAAGCCUGAUCCAGCAAUGCCGCGUGAGUGAUGAAGGCCCUAGGGUUGUAAAGCUCUUUUACCAGGGAUGAUAAUGACAGUACCUGGAGAAUAAGACUCCGGCUAACUCCGUGCCAGCAGCCGCGGUAAU